rnacentral:rRNA from 1 species
UACGGAGGGGGCCAGCGUUGCUCGGAAUUACUGGGCGUAAAGGGCUCGUAGGCGGUCUGAUAAGUCCUGUGUGAAAUCCCUUGGCUUAACCAAGGAAUGGCACCGGAUACUGUCGGACUGGAGGCCGGGAGAGGGAAGUGGAAUUCCCAGUGUAGCGGUGAAAUGCGUAGAUAUUGGGAGGAACACCGGUGGCGAAGGCGGCUUCCUGGACCGGUUCUGACGCUGAGGAGCGAAAGCUAGGGUAGCAAACAGG